GACGAACGCUGGCGGCGUGCUUAACACAUGCAAGUCGAACGGAAAGGCCCUGCUUGCAGGGUACUCGAGUGGCGAACGGGUGAGUAACACGUGGGUGAUCUGCCCUGCACUUCGGGAUAAGCCUGGGAAACUGGGUCUAAUACCGGAUAGGAGCCAUUUUUAGUGUGAUGGUUGGAAAGUUUUUUCGGUGUAGGAUGAGCUCGCGGCCUAUCAGCUUGUUGGUGGGGUAAUGGCCUACCAAGGCGGCGACGGGUAGCCGGCCUGAGAGGGUGGACGGCCACAUUGGGACUGAGAUACGGCCCAGACUCCUACGGGAGGCAGCAGUGGGGAAUAUUGCACAAUGGGCGCAAGCCUGAUGCAGCGACGCCGCGUGGGGGAUGACGGCCUUCGGGUUGUAAACUCCUUUCGCUAGGGACGAAGCUUUUUGCGACGGUACCUAAAUAAGAAGCACCGGCUAACUACGUG
rnacentral:rRNA from 1 species